rnacentral:rRNA from 1 species
AUUGAACGCUGGCGGCAGGCCUAACACAUGCAAGUCGAACGAGUGGCGGACGGGUGAGUAAUGACUGGGAAACUGCCCGAUGGAGGGGGAUAACUACUGGAAACGGUAGCUAAUACCGCAUACCAUCGGAUGUGCCCAGAUGGGAUUAGCUAGUAGGUGGGGUAACGGCUAACCUAGGCGACGAACCCUAGUUGGUCUGAGAGGAUGAACAGCCACCCUGGAACUGAGACACGGUCCAGACUCCUACGAUAGGCAGCAGUGGGGAAUAUUGCACAAUGGGCGAAAGCCUGAUGCAGCCAUGCCGCGUGUAUGAAGAAGGCCUUCGGGUUGGAAAGUACUUUCAGCGGGGAGGCGUUACCCGCAGAAGAAGCACCGGCUAACUCCGUGCCAGCAGCCGCGGUAAUAC